rnacentral:rRNA from 1 species
CACGUAGGGUGCAAGCGUUGUCCGGAAUCAUUGGGCGUAAAGAGCGCGCAGGCGGUCGGUCAAGUCGAGUGUGAAAGCCCCCGGCUCAACUGGGGGGUGUCGUGCGAUACGGGCGGACUGGAGGCCAGUAGGGGGAUGCGGAAUUCCGGGUGUAGUGGUGGAAUGCGUAGAGAUCCGGAGGAACACCAGCGGCGAAGGCGGCAUCCUGGACUGGUCCUGACACUCAUGAGCGAAAGCGUGGGGAGCGAUCCGG